CAGACCCUAACUUCUCUCCACCGAAACCCUAACUUCUUCCCAUCUCCCUCAAAGCGCCGCUCACGCCGUCUUCCCUUCAUCUGCUAUUUUCUCCCAUCUCUCUUCUGUAACGACGUGAAUGAAUUCAUCGAGGAGAUCAAAAACCUCACCCUCCAGGCUCCACCAUUUCUCUUUCGCGGCGUACACGGCGGUGCUCGAUCCACAACCUGUACAUCUCUCCCGCCCCUCACUCCCUCUCUCUAACUCUCUCGCCAGAUCUGUCCGAUCUAUCUUCCAUCUCCGUGGCUAGGGCCUAUGAAGCGAUACUAAGAGACGAUUAAGGGUGUACAUGGAUUCGGAGCCAUUGUCGAGUCCGCCGCCGCCGCCAAGAUCUGAAGCCAUCCAGUUGCAGGUCAUGAAUAAUGCAUAACUAUGUUGUACAAAAUUUUCAGAUUUCUUCAAUGAUUCAAAUUGAGGUAGAAGUGGGACUUGGCUGUUAUUGUUGCCGAAGUAGUCACAAAUACGGUAUUGUUGACUAUGCAACUUUAGUCUUUGGUAUCAGCAGCUUUAGUCUUUGGUGUUCUGCUGGCUCACAAAUCAUGUUCCAUUUUAUGACAACAAAUUUCAAAUUUGUAACAAUAUAUAGUAAUAUGUAGUAACAUAUGCAUAUGCUUGUGUGUUUGGUUGGUUAUGAGUUGAUUUAUAAUGUAAAUGUUUAGAUUGAAAUUUAUUUUUUUAUCACAGAUCUUGGUGUUUUAAAAACAUAUGUGCACUAAGUUUA